CAUUACAACGAUGAAGCACGUUGUUUUGAUUCCUAUUGAAAUGUAGAUAUAGGCUUGGUCGAGCCAUGAAUGUAAUUGUCAAAUCAAGCCGAAAUAAGGCAGAAAUCAUUCUUCACUAUUACAAGUAUAACAAGAAAAAGAGGUUAUUAGAGGACUAUUACCAUUACUGAGGUUAAAGUUCAAGUCUUUUCAUCAUGAUCACCAGAUUUAUGUUGUCCUGGAUAAUUUGGAUGGAAAUCGACUACAAUAAAACCAAUACCAACACGUA